rnacentral:lncRNA from 1 species
CUCCCACCUCAGACUCCCAAAGUGCUGGGAUUAUAGGUGUGAGCCACCACACCCAGCCUUUAUACAUCUUGAAAUACACUUUUCAGCUGUAGAGCCAUGAUACGUGAUUUAAAUUCUCUGUGCCUGUUUCCUUGGGCCUGGCAGAGAAAGUGUGAAUAGCCUAUUGUGGCCGUAUACCUGGGGAUGAUAAUGCUACCUACUUUGCUGUUAGGAAUACUAAGUGAGAAAGUAUGAGUGAAACCUUCAGCACAGAGCCAGGCACACCGUAAGUGCUCCAUGAACGGACAGCUAUUAUUGUAAUUACGCAUUCAGCCAUCAGAACUUACUGCAUGUCGAGAGCUGUGCAAGGCUCAGGGGAUAGGGUACUAACCAGUUAGGCUGACGAGCAAGUGUCCUGUCCUCACCGGGUGGCUGUCUGAAGGAGAGGCAGACCAGUCAACCAGUUUCCCUUAACUAGUACAUAUGCCCUCUGCUAGGGAAGCAAGAGUGGCUGCAGGAGCCCACAGGAGGGGCACCCACCCCAGAGCCAUGGGCGGCAGGCCACUGCAGCUGCCCUCUGCUGUCUGGAUGCCUUCCCCUGGCCUGGAAAGAGCUUCCCCCAGAUGGCUCCAUGACCCACUCAUUCAUGUUAUUCAGGACUCUGCUCAGGCAUCACCUCCACAAGGAGCCUUCUCCAAUCUUUCUGUCUAAAACAAUCCCUACCCACCCUGCCGCCUUUAUCAUUCCAUUCCAUGCCCUCAUGCUGCUUUAUUCUCUUUACAGUACUGAUCUUUUCUACCAGCGGAUUGUGGAUCUGUUUUGAAAAAUAUGUUUAUUGACCAUUUACCCACCACAAAGUAAGCUUGGUGAACGCAGGGGCUUUACCUAUUUUGUAUUCCUUAUUGCAUCCCCAGUGCACUCCCAGAACAAUGCCUGGGCCACGGUGAGCCAUCAAUGCCUGUCUUGGGUGAACAAAGUGACCACUAAGCUAGAUCCUGUAGGAUGCAUAGAGAUUGACCAGGGAAAGGGUCAGGGAGAGAAGAGAGAAUCUUCCAGGCAGAGGGAGCAGCAUGUACAAAACCAGGGGAGGAGAGCAGAACAUGAUGGGAGGUAGUUCUGUAUGACAGGCAUGUUCAUUAACAGAGCAGGAGGAGCAGGCAGCGAAAGGAAGAGCUUUCUGCUGGAGCUUCUGAAUCAUGAUGUGGGUCUGACCCCAUGGAAGGAGCCAGGGCAGGAAGGAUGAUUGGAGAGGAAAGUCUCAGACUGCAGCAUGGUUCUAAGAAGGUUUUGGCCAGGCAGAUGGGGAGUCCCUGAGCCAAAGCUGGCCCUCAGAGGAAUUCCCCAUCAGGCAGAAGCUAGUGCCGUGUUAUGCUCAGCCUUUGGCUGGAAUUAGCUCAGGGGACGUGUGGCUUUGGAGGGAUGCAGUGAGGGAUCCUGAAGGGCGGGAACUGUGGCUGUCACUUGACUGCUCCCUGCAGCCGGAGACCUCGAUGGUGCAAUUCCAUGGCUGCCCAACAAGCAGAGAGGGCAAGGAAGGAAGUGGUGAGAAUUGAGUCUGGAGAGCUAAACAUGGACCAGAUCACCAAGGGUACUUCAGGCCCUGUUAAAGAGUUGGAUUUUAUCAUGAAGGCAAUGAGAUGCCAGGAUAUGGUUUUGUUCAGGGGAAACAGAAUGAUUGGAUUUGCAUGUCAGAAGGAUCACUUUGGCUAUUAUGUAGAACAUGGAAAAGAAAACCUUUUGAAAAGUCUAGACUAGUAAUCCAGGCUCCCUUUAUUAUUAUUGUUAUUAUUAUUAUUAUUUGUUUUCAUUCUCACUGUGAAAGCAGUUUGAGAAAUAGACACAGAUGGCCUCCUCGUGGAAGUCAAACCUCACCUUUAUUCCUGAAUAAGCAGUUAGCAAAUGUGCCUUUGUUGUGAGGGCCAAAUGGGUUUCCAGUCACUCCCUGCCCAAUGGUUCCCUCCAGUCUAGGCCUUGGGCAGCCACCCAGGCAUCCAUCUGGGUCUUCUCUGGAGAAUCACUGCCUUCCUCUGGCCAGGAUGAGGAGGGGAAGAAGAGGCUGAGUCCCCGGCACUUAUCAUGGUCUUUCCAUUGCUGAGCUCCACCUAAUGGAGGAACAUGGACACCUCUCACCCCAGACUGGGGAAAAGAUGGGAAGAAGCCAGUAGAGAAGGGAGAUGUUGAAAACACAGGAGGGAAAGAGGAGCAGCCUGGACGUGAGUGAGGUGUACGUGUCACAUUUGGAGCCAUGGCAACCAUCCUGUGACCUGGAGGACAGAAGUCUAAAGGUAAAGUGAAAACACUGAGGAUGGCGGAGCAGAGGAUGGUGGGCGUCCCUCAGGCUGUUCUGUGCACAGUAGUGAGGAUGACUCUGUUUGGAAGUCAGAACUCAUUGCUCCUCUCCUCAAAACCCACUGAUGACUCCCUCCCUCUCCACGAAUAAAAUUCCACAUCCAUAAAGCCCCAUGUGAUCUGACUCCCCACUGCCUCUUUGAUCUCAUCCUUUUACUCUCCCCCUCCCUCCCUCCAAGCCAACCUCUGGCUUCCUUGUUGAUCCUUGAAUGUUUCCAGCACGCUCCAGCCUCAUGGCCUCUGCGCUAGCUGUUCUGCUUCACCUGGGAUGCUCUCAGCCUGGAGUGAUCUCAGCCCACACCUGGCCUGUUCACCCACUUGCUUCAGCUCCCUGUGUAAAUGUCACCACCUUGGAGAGGCAUCCUCUGACCACUCUCUUUCUAAUGCACCCCUUUCUUAAUCGUUCUAUUCCCUUUUCCUGCCUUAUUGUUUUUCAGAGUGCAUAUUAGCACUUUACACUUUAAGGACUUGUUUAUUCUCACACACAAACUCUUACACUUCCUCAUACGCACAUGCACUCACACACAAACUCUCACACUCAUAUGCACUCACGCUCCCUGAUACAUGCACACACACUCUCUCACUCACAUGCUGACCCGCAAUCACUCUCACACAUGCACAAAUGUGAACUUCCAGAGAGCAGCACCCUGGUCCAUUCCCCAACACCUAGAGCAGCACCUGGCAUCUAAUAGGUAUUCAACAAAUCUUUAUUGAAUUAAUUAAUGAAUUAAAAUAA